ensembl:lncRNA
AUGCGAGGGUGUGGUGGAAGGCCCGCCUGUGAGGUCACACUGGAAGAGGCAGUCAACACCACGCCUCAAGACUGCCUCCAAUAUGAAAGAAAGAAGGGUAAAUGUAGCAGGAGAUUCCCUUCGGAGAGGAACAGAGGGCCCAAUAUGCAGAGCAGACCCUCAUCAAUUACAGAGACGUGGUGGGACAGCUCACAUGACUGGAAUGUGGUCAUGGAUAGGUAUGUCCUCAGAAAAGACAGGCCAGCAAGGCGAGGUGGUGGAGUUGUUCUUUAUGUGAGAGGGCAACUACAAUGUGUUGAGUACCGUCCAGGGGUGGAUGAAGAGCGAGUUGAGGGUCUGUGGGUGAGAAUUAAGGGGCAGGUUGGCAUGGAUGAUACUGUUGUGAGUGUCUAUUACAGGCCACCAGAGCAGGAUGAGGAAUUUGACGAGGCCUUCUACAGGCAGCUGAUAGCAGCCUCACAGUUACAGGCCCUGGUUAUCGUGGGGGAUUUCAACUUCCCUGACAUUUGCUGGAAGCCUUGCUCAGCCAGCCAUCUGCAGUCCAGGAGGUUCCUCCUGUGCAUUGAUGACAACUUCCUGGUGCAAAUGGUGGAUGAGCCAACUAGGAGAGGAGCGCUGCUGGAUCUUGUCCUCACUAACAAGGAGGGGCUGGUUGAAGCGGUGAAGGUUGAGGGCAGCCUUGGCUGCAGUGACCAUGAGACGAUGGAGUUCAGGAUCUCACGUGGCAGGAACAGAAUACCAAGCAGAAUCGCAACCCUGAACUUCGGUAGGGCCAACUUUGGCCUUUUCAAGCAAUUGCUAGGGGAAAUCCCGUGGGACAGGGUACUUCAAGGAAAAGGGGCCCAAGAUAGUUGGUUAGCAUUCAAGGAGUGCUUCUUCCAAGCUCAAGAUGAGAGCAUCCCAACAGGUAGGAAGUCAAGAAUGGGGGCCAGGAGACCUGUGUGGUUAAACAGGGAACUGCCAGGCAAACUCGAGUGGAAGAGGAGAGUCUACAGAUCAUGGAAGGAGGGGCUGGCCACUUGGGAAGAAUAUAAGAUUGUUGUCAGAGGAUAUAGGGAGGCAACUAGGAAAGCUAAGGCCUCCUUAGAAUUAAACCAUGCGAGAUGGGUCAAGGACAACAGAAAGGGCUUCUUCAAAUACAUUGCAGAUAAAACUAACACUAGAGGAAAUGUAGGCCCACUGAUGAAUGAGGUGGGUGCCCUGGUGACAGAAGAUAAAGAGAAGACAGAGUUACUGAAUGCCUUCUUUGUCUCUGUCUAUACUGCCAGAAGCUGUCCUGAGGAGCCCUGUACUCCUGAGGCCCCAGAGGAAGUCAGGAUAAAGGAGGAGUUUGCCUCGGUUGAUGGGGGCUGGGUUAAGGACCAAUUAAGCAAUCUGGACAUCCGUAAAUCCAUGGGCCCUGAUGGGAUAUACCUAGGGGUACUGAGGGAGCUGGCAGAAGUCAUUGAUAGGCCACUCUCCAUCAUCUUUGGGAAGUCAUGGGGAAAGGGAGAGGUGCCUGAGGACUGGAGGAAAGCAAAUGCCGCUCCAGUUUUCAAAAAGGGCAAGAACGAGGACCCGAGUAACUAG